UACGAGGGGCGCGAGCGUUGUCCGGAAUUAUUGGGCGUAAAGAGCUCGUAGGCGGCCUGUUGCGUCCGCUGUGAAAGCCCGGGGCUUAACCCCGGGUCUGCAGUGGAUACGGGCAGGCUAGAGGUAGGUAGGGGAGAAUGGAAUUCCCGGUGUAGCGGUGAAAUGCGCAGAUAUCGGGAGGAACACCGGUGGCGAAGGCGGUUCUCUGGGCCUUACCUGACGCUGAGGAGCGAAAGCGUGGGGAGCGAACAGG
rnacentral:rRNA from 1 species